CGCCUCAUGUGAUGCACAAACACCCAGGGAUGACCGUGACCUGACUGGGAUGUAUUCGUACUGUCUGAUGCGGCC